rnacentral:lncRNA from 1 species
AAAGGAAAGUAGAAGGCUGGCGGAAGGUGCGGUAACCCUUCGGGUUGGCAACGGGGCAAAAGUUGCUGUUGUGGCUGUGGGCACCUAUCCUCUGCGACUACCGUCUGGUUUUAGUUUAUUACUUAGAGACUGUUAUUAUGUACCUGCUGCUAGCAGAAAUUUGAUUUCUGUUUCAUGUCUAGCACAGGAAGGUCAUGUUUUUAUAUUUGACAAAGACUGCUGUUCUAUUUAUUUCAAAAAUAAAAUAGUCGCACGUGGUUUUAU